UUCCUUGUUAGGUAACACUUUCA
rnacentral:snRNA from 1 species